AGUGAACGCUGGCGGUAGGCCUAACACAUGCAAGUCGAACGGCAGCACAGUAAGAGCUUGCUCUUACGGGUGGCGAGUGGCGGACGGGUGAGGAAUACAUCGGAAUCUACUUUUUCGUGGGGGAUAACGUAGGGAAACUUACGCUACUACCGCAUACGACCUACGGGUGAAAGCAGGGGAUCUUCGGACCUUGCGCGAUUGAAUUAGCCGAUGUCGGAUUAGCUAGUUGGCGGGGUAAAGGCCCACCAAGGCGACGAUCCGUAGCUGGUCUGAGAGGAUGAUCAGCCACACUGGAACUGAGACACGGUCCAGACUCCUACGGGAGGCAGCAGUGGGGAAUAUUGGACAAUGGGCGCAAGCCUGAUCCAGCCAUACCGCGUGGGUGAAGAAGGCCUUCGGGUUGUAAAGCCCUUUUGUUGGGAAAGAAAAGCAGCAGGUUAAUACCCCGCUGUUCUGACGGUACCCAAAGAAUAAGCACCGGCUAACUUCGUG
rnacentral:rRNA from 1 species